UACGGGGGGUGCAAGCGUUAUCCGGAUUUACUGGGCUUAAAGGGUGCGUAGGUGGGUAAGUAAGUCAGUGGUGAAAUCUCCGGGCUUAACCCGGAAACUGCCAUUGAUACUAUUUAUCUUGAAUACUUUGGAGGUAAGCGGAAUAUGUCAUGUAGCGGUGAAAUGCUUAGAUAUGACAUAGAACACCAAUUGCGAAGGCAGCUUACUACACAGUCAUUGACACUGAGGCACGAAAGCGUGGGGAUCAAACAGG
rnacentral:rRNA from 1 species